UACGAACCGUGCGAACGUUGUUCGGAUUCACUGGGCUUAAAGGGCGCGUAGGCGGACUCGCAAGUCUGUGGUGAAAGCCCCCAGCUCAACUGGGGAAGUGCCGUGGAUACUGCAAGUCUGGAGGAGGGUAGGGGCAUCUGGAACGCUGGGUGGAGCGGUGAAAUGCGUUGAUAUCCAGCGGAACUCCGGUGGCGAAGGCGAGGUGCUGGACCCUUUCUGACGCUGAGUGCGCGAAAGCCAGGGGAGCAAACGGG
rnacentral:rRNA from 1 species